rnacentral:rRNA from 1 species
UACGGGGGGAGCAAGCGUUGUUCGGAUUUACUGGGCGUAAAGGGCGCGUAGGCGGUCAGCACAAGUCAGUUGUGAAAUCUCCGGGCUUAACUCGGAAAGGUCAACUGAUACUGUGCGACUAGAGUGCGGAAGGGGCAACUGGAAUUCUACGGUGUAGCGGUGAAAAUGCGUAGAUAUCGAGAGGAACACCUGCGGCGAAGGCGGGUUGCUGGGCCGACACUGACGCUGAUGCGCGAAAGCCAGGGGAGCGAACGGG